rnacentral:rRNA from 1 species
UACGUAGGGGGCAAGCGUUGUCCGGAAUCAUUGGGCGUAAAGAGCGUGUAGGCGGUCCGGUAAGUCGGCUGUGAAAGUCCAGGGCUCAACCCUGGGAUGCCGGUCGAUACUGCCGGACUAGAGUUCGGAAGAGGCGAGUGGAAUUCCCGGUGUAGCGGUGAAAUGCGCAGAUAUCGGGAGGAACACCUAUGGCGAAGGCAGCUCGCUGGGACGUUACUGACGCUGAGACGCGAAGCGUGGGGAGCGAACAGG